AACUUCAGGUUUUUCUUCAUAUCGUAUAAAUCUUUCGCCUUUUACUAAAGAUUUCCGUGGAGAGGAACAAGCACGAGUGUAAUGUAAUUUUUUGAGGCUUCACAGGGGUGAAGCU